rnacentral:rRNA from 1 species
GAUGAACGCUGGCGGCAUGCCUUACACAUGCAAGUCGAACGGCAGCACGGGAGCAAUCCUGGUGGCGAGUGGCGAACGGGUGAGUAAUAUAUCGGAACGUGGCCCAGUCGUGGGGAUAACGUAGCGAAAGCUACGCUAAUACCGCAUACGAUUUAUGGAUGAAAGCGGGGGAUCGCAAGACCUCGCGCGAUUGGAGCGGCCGAUAUCAGAUUAGGUAGUUGGUGAGGUAAGAGCUUACCAAGGCGACGAUCAGUAUCUGGUUUGAGAGGACGAUCAGACACACUGGAACUGAGACACGGUCCAGACUCCUACGGGAGGCAGCAGUGGGGAAUUUUCCGGCAAUGGGCGAAAGCCUGACGGAGCAAUACCGCGUGAGGGAAGAAUAGCCUAUGGGUU